CUUUAUUGGGAAGAACCCCCCUGACGUGUCAGGGGCUGACGGUACCAAAAGAAUAAGGACCGGCUAACUCCGUGCCAGCAGCCGCGGGUAAUACGGAGGGUCCAAGCGUUAUCCGGAAUCAUUGGGUUAAAGGGUUCGCAGGCGGUUUGUAAGUCAGUGGUGAAAUCCCGUAGCUCAACUACGGAACUGCCAUUGAUACUGACAGACUUGAAAUAUAGUUGAAGUAGGCGGAAAGUGUGUUAGUGUAGCGGUGAAAUGCUUAGAUAUUACACAGAACACCGAUAGCGAAGGCAGCUUACUAAGCUAUUAUUGACGCUCAUGAACGAAAGCGUGGGGAGCAAACAGGAUUAGAUACCCCUGGUAG
rnacentral:rRNA from 1 species